GGCACUGUCCCCUGAGGAGCUGCUGAAGGACGCUGCCCUGAAGACCUUGAGGCCAGCCAGACACUGCCAGGAGCCAGCAGGGAGAAGCUGAAGGCCACGAGCAAGAGCAGCGAACAGGGAGCUGCUGCUGCUGCCACCCCGAGAGCCUGGAUGUCCCAUCUGCUGUCCUUGUCCAGGAGAGCUGCUCUGCACAGUUGGAAGAGACUGAGGGAGAGG